rnacentral:lncRNA from 10 species
AGAAGAGGAGCCUGUGCUCGGAGGGCAGACAGGCUCCUGGAAAUGAAGAUGAGCUCCACCUGGCACCCGAGCUUCUCUGGCUGUCCCCCCUCACUGAGGGGGCCCCCCGCACCCGGGAGGAGACGCGGGACUUGGUCCACGCUCCGUUACCCUUGACCUGGAAACGCUCGAGCCUGUGUGGGGACUCUUCAACAACACCAAUAUCAGGACCAGGAUCAGAGGACCUCGAGGAACCACAUGCACAAGGAUUACUCCAUACCACUUGUAAUUAACACUUAUUAAGGAGACAGGCAGCUUCUCACUUAACAAGAUCACAAAGAUCACAGGGUCUGAUAACACCAGUGCUGCUAUUCUGAAAUGUGGUACCUUUGUUCUUCUUGAAGUUGUCAAGUUUAUCCUCUAGACCAUCCACAGCUGACACAGAAUGGCUUCUAGGCAACCCCCGCUUUAGUGAUCUCUUUGAAGGGGAAAGCAAUUCCUGGUUGAAAAGAUUUCUUCGAACUUUGGUCACUUCUGAAAGCAUCAAA